CCUGGCUCAGAAUCAACGCUGCGGCGUGCCUCAGACAUGCAAGUCGAACGAGAAAGUCCCCUUCGGGGGAUAAGUAAAGUGGCGCACGGGUGAGUAACACGUAGGUAAUCUACCUUCGGGUGGGGAAUAACCCAGGGAAACUUGGGCUAACACCGCAUAAUGCAGCGGCACCACAUGGUGACAGUUGUUAAAGCGGGGGAUUUUAGGACCUCGCGCCUGAAGAGGAGCCUGCGGCGGAUUAGCUAGUUGGUAAGGUAACGGCUUACCAAGGCGACGAUCCGUAGCCGGCCUGAGAGGGCGGUCGGCCACACUGACACUGACAUACGGGUCAGACUCCUACGGG
rnacentral:rRNA from 1 species